ACCCUGUGAUAGCAGAGAUAUUGAGUCGUUUCCAAGGGUCUCUUUCUUGCGAAGGACCUACUGCUCUCCGACACUCUGGAAAGGUGUUAUCGUGUAUUUCUCUUCUGGACUUGCAAUUCAGGCUGCUCUGGGUCUUCGGCGGAAUGAAAGGCUGGGCCUGUCGGGAUAGUAGAUUCCUUAUCCGGAAGCAUAAUGUUUAAGGGAAGAUGGGAAGUUAGCCUGGAACAGUUGCUAAGGACUCAGUGUGACAUCAUGUUGAUAAAGAAACACCAGGAAACAAACUCCUGCUGCAAGACUUCUAGAAAAAUGCCAAUCUGCUUUUUGUGAGGUCUGUCUGACUUGUGUUCCAGACGUUAAAACAGACACCACAGGAAGGUACUGGAGUAUAACUCAGUGGCAUAGUGCUUGCUUGCCUUUAGGCCCUGGUUUCCUAGCCCUGGAAAAAAAUCUAGGAGGCCAGGCUUUAGAUGAGGCCCAUGCACUAAAUUCUGACAGACCAGGAUAAAAAUGAA
rnacentral:lncRNA from 1 species